rnacentral:rRNA from 1 species
GACGAACGCUGGCGGCGUGCUUAACACAUGCAAGUCGAACGGAAAGGCCCUGCUUUUGUGGGGUGCUCGAUUGGCGAACGCGUGAGUGACACGUGAGUAACCUCCCCUUGACUUUCGGAUAUCUUCACGGAACUGGGGCUAAUACCGGAUAGGAUCUCCUGCUGCAUGGUGGGGGUUGGAAAGUUUCGGCGGUUGGGGAUGGACUCGCGGCUUAUGCGCUUGUUGGUGGGGUAGUGGCUUACCAAGGCUUUGACGGGUAGCCGGCCUGAGAGGGUGAACGGCCACAUUGGGACUGCGAUACGGCCCAGACUCCUACGGGAGGCAGCAGUGGGGAAUAUUGCACAAUGGGCGGAAGCCUGAUGCAGCAACGCCGCGUGCGGGAUGACGGCCUUCGGGUUGUAAACCGCUUUCGCCUGUGACGAAGCGUGAGUGACGGUAAUGGGUAAAGAAGCACCGGCUAACUACGUG